CGUAACAAGGUAGCUGUAGGUGAACCUGCUGCUGGAUCAUUACAUGUCAACCAAAUAAUGGUCAAAUACGAAACGUGAAAAGCUUGGUUGAAGAGCCCGCAUAUUCACUUGAUGGUGGUUAAUAGCGCAACGGCUAACGUUGGCGUCUCUAUGUUGCUGAGCAGUUGUCGUCGUCCGUGGCUGCAAUGAGGUGACAUGGUAGGACCAUAUGCAGAUGGCAUUUGGUUUAAGACUUAAUGAGCCCAAUGACUCUGGGCCGCCAACACCCAUUUUUUCAUAUACAUUUUUUUCACACUGAACAAAAAAAAAUUCUAGUCUUAUCGGCGGAUCACUCGGCUCGUAGGUCGAUGAAGAACGCAGCUAACUGCGAUAAAUAGUGCGAACUGCAGAAACAUUGAGCACAAAAGAUUCGAAUGCACAUUGCGCCAUUGGAGUCUCUUCCUUUGGCACGCCUUGUUCAGGGUCGUCAUCCAAAAACGCAACAUUUUUGCGUGAAAAUUCAGAAUACAAUUUGUAUAACUCGAGUGUGUGGAAAAAGACACUUGGUGCCACCAACAAUGCGGAUGUGAGAAGUAUGAGAAUACAUCGACUUUGAUCGUCAUGAAGGUGGAAGCGUCUACCUGCGCUUAGCUGGUGGCCAAAUGCCUAGCCAAUCAUGGCCAUUUUCAUAAUUUCGACCUGAACUCAGACGUGAGUACCCGCUGAACUUAAGCAUAUCAUUUAGCGGAGGA
rnacentral:rRNA from 1 species